rnacentral:snRNA from 1 species
GUGCUCACUUUGGCAGCACAUAUACUAAAAUUGGAAUGAUACAGAAAAGAUUAGCAUGGCCCUCUCCCAAGGAUGACAUGCAAAUUCGUGAAGGGUUGCAUAUUAAA